CUUGGUGUAAUGGUCAGCACACCAGGCUCAUGUCCUGUAGGAGAUGGUUCAAUUCCAUCAGG
rnacentral:tRNA from 15 species